ACGCUCGACACCUACGGAGGCAGCAGUGGGGAAUAUUGCACAAUGGGGGAAACCCUGAUGCAGCGACGCCGCGUGAGUGAAGAAGUAAUUCGUUAUGUAAAGCUCUAUCAGCAGGGAAGAAAGUGACGGUACCUGAGUAAGAAGCCCCGGCUAACUACGUGCCAGCAGCCGCGGUAAUCUGAGCGGGCUGGCAAGGC
rnacentral:rRNA from 1 species